AGCUGUUGUUUAAUGGGCACAGAAUUUCAGUUCUGAAAGAUGAAGAGUUGAGGUGGGUGGUGAUGGUCACAUAAUACAGUGAAUCUACUUAACAUUACUGAAAGGUGUGCUUAAAAAUGAUUAAGGUGGCAAAUUUUAAAAAGCAGUCUGCAAAAAAUGAUCCAUUAAACAUUGAACAAUGAUUUCCAUGAUGGUGGCUUUCUCAUCAGAAACUGGAAACAAGACAGUGGAACAACAUCUUUGAAACGCCAAAAGAAAAUAACUAUUUCUAGAAAAAAUAUAUUCAGGAAUGAAGGCAAAAUAAAAACAAUGAUCACUAAGGAACACUAAGAGAAUUAAGUGCUCAAGGAAGUUUUCAGGCUGAAGGGAAAUAAUAUUGUAAGAUAAAUUCUAGCUGAAAUAAGCAGGCGAAGAGAGGCAACAAAAGGCCAGGCAGUUUAUUUGAACUCCCUGGGUGAGGUUCCCCAGUCUACAGAAAUGGAGGCUGGGGAAGUCACACCCGGUCAGGGAGGUGGGGGCUUAUAAGGGAUUAGGAGGGGGAGGAGUGGGCAAGCUAUCCUAGGGGGCGUGGAGAGGUGUGAAUGGCUAAAGGUGACAUAAUAGACAACUAGAAACUUUUUUUCCUUCCAAGAGGGAGGAGGCUGACAUCCGGGUCUUAGUUGCCACAUCAGAAGGAUGGAGUUCAGGAAGAGCUGUCCCCUUUCCAUAUAAGGCAUGGACCUUGGGGUCUGGUCUGUUCUUCUUUUAUGGUAUCUCUCUGUUCUGUUUGCAUGUCCUUGUUUUUUCUUCCUCCAGCCUAACAUUCCAGUGUUUUGGUCAUAAUGGGCAACUACUCGAUCUGGCUACUUCUGGCUGACAAGGGGCGUUGUGGGGGUUUGAGGCUGGUAUUAAGCCGAAGGAGGGGGUUUAGUGGGAAGAGGUGUGUAACGGUGAAGUAACAUCUGGUUGGUGGUGACUCGGAUCAUCUGGGUUAGCCCUGUUGGAGGAACCUGAGGACACAAGGGGCAACUAAGAGUAAACUACAAACUGUUAUUAAGGGGCCCAGUAGGGGCAAUAGCCCCGACAUUAUGGGGGACUGGAAUUUUGGAUCGAGUUUACAUCUCAAUGAUUAGUAUUGGGAUUUAGUAUAGACAAGACUGCAUUACUGAAACAAUCCUUUUCUCUAAAAUCAACCUCAUUUUUAUUAGAAGUAGCUAGAUUAAGAAAAUAAUUAACAGUUGGCUUGAUUAUUUGCACAAGUGCAGCAAGAAGAGCAAUUGAUUACAUAGGCUCUUUUAAAUAUGCUUUGCUGGAACUUUUUAUAAGGAAUUUCAGAUUGGACUUUUAAAGGCUUUUUAAGGCCAGAAAGCAAAGCCAGACUUGCCAUCAGGUUGUGCCUGCAGUACCUGUAGAUCUGGGUGAAUUCCUCUCUUCUUGAGGUUCCCAUGACAUUCCUGAGGUUCUUGCACUUGCCAGGAAGUGACCUUCUUUACUCACCUGGUAAGGCUGGUAACUCUGUAAGCAAGGUACUAGGCCAGUUCUUCCAAGGGGCUUUGUUGGCUUUAUAAAGGCAACCUUAGUUCCUUAAAGCUGUUCAUAUCUGAGUUUAUGCAUGUGUCUCUCAGGUAUGACAUUCCAGUCAAAGCCUUGAUAGUAUAACCUGUGUUUUCAAUUGGUCUUCUUACAAGGAAAGCAGAUUCUUAUUGAACUUGUGCAAAUAAACAUACUGCCAUGAAAUAUAAAAACAGUCCCUGAGAGUUUUUAGAUUCUGGAGGGAUUAGGUAGAGAGAAAGAUAAAGUUUCAAUUCUGCUUAUAAAGGCAGUUAUUUACUAAACUGUUGUCAGCUUAAGGGAAAAAGCUUAAGACACUUUAUCAACAAUAUUUGAAACAAAAAGCUACAAAAUCAUCUUCCUUAGUUUACUUAAUCUUAUGUAACUAAUACUUGUUCUGCUGAAAUCUAAUUUCUUACUAGUUUAGGAGUAAUAACAGUGAGUAUAGAUGACAAAAGGCUUACAAAUGACAAUGGUUAAAGAUCUGAUGAGAGCUUACUGUAAGACAGUUGUCAUAAGGAAAUUUGGAUAUUUCUGUAACACAAAACAUUCAGUAACAAAGUUUAGUACCAUUCUUUUUGACAGUGCUUUCUAGGUAAAUAUAUAUCAGAUAAAUAAGCUGAAUUAGCCAAAUAUUUUCUCCAAUGAGAAAAAGUUCCUCUGACAUGUUUCAGGGGCCUUCUGGAAAAUAUAAGAGUUAACUAGAGGUAAAAGUAUCUUUUUGAAUUUGAUUUUGGGAAGUUGUCAGAAGAGUUUUUUUGGCACUUGCUGAAAUAGGAUUGUAGGUUGCCAUGAAGCAAUACUUGUCUAUUUAACUAGAAUGAUAACAAAGUACUUCAAAGGCAAAUAAAGAAGGUUACACAGUUGUUAGCAAAGUUUAGCUUUUAGUCCUUUUAAUAUUAAGAUCUCAUUUUUUAAAGACUGACAACUCACUGAGAUUUUAAGCAUAAGAAACUGCUUUGAUAAAACAAUAAGAACUCUCUACAAUCUUGCAAUAUUAAGAGCAGACUAGCAGUUAAGAAAACUUUGUCUUUUUAACUGAAAACAAAAUUCUAAUUUUUCUGUGUAUUUGAUACUGAGACUCAUUUGCUUUAAUUUUAUAUAGCAUGACCAUAUUAAAUUCUACAAACUUUUUAUAUUCUUCUUUUUCAUUUAGAGUUUUCUCUGUAAAAACAGCUGUACUUUAGAACAAAGUUACUUUUUUUAUCAAAAGACACAUUCUUUAGCAUGCAGAAUGAAUUUCUAUUUUUUAUACUUUCUCUUAUUAAAACAUACAUCUUUUAGCAUAGAUAAAUUUUUUUAUUACUUUAAGUAGUUUUAAUUAGAACUUAAAACUAUUAGAAACGUUAAUUUUCAGUUUACACUGAGAAGUAGGCUAUUGUAAACUGUUAAACUAGCAUUCUUUGGAUUGACAAAUUAUGAACAUUUUAUAAUUUCUGUUAACUAUGAGCUUUACAACACAAUCUCUCACUAAGCACGAAUUAUAUCUUUUUAACUUAGCAAAACUUUAAGGUUUUAGGUUACUACAAAGAUUUCCAGGCUGUAGAUAGGUAUACACACAGUAACACACAAUUAUUAAAGUGUUCAUUUGCUACACUUAUUUAGUUCACUUAUUCUUAACUAUGCUAGGUUACUUAAAAAACUUUUACUGGAUAUUAGACAGAGCCAAGCCUUUAAGCAUUUUAUUCUUAAAAGAUUUAGUAGAUAACAUCAACUUAAAUGACUUUAGGUAAACUUAGGCAGCUGAUAACUACAAGGACAUGCCUGCCUCAGCCAAACUCAAAUUAGCAUUAAUGCUUAACAUUUUUUAUCAGAUUUUUCUGGAAGUUUUAGAAUGCCCAAUUUUCACAAGCAAUUGUUUUUAAAUCAAUUUUUACUAAUACCAUCUGGAGGUAGGAAAAUAUUUUUCAUUUACACACUUAGACACACAAACAUACAAACUGAGACACAAUGACUACAAGUCAGCAACACUUCUCACACAAAAACAUAUACACAGACAAACAAACUGAUAUAAAGAUUUGAGUUACUGAUAUUUAAUUGCUUUCUUUCUUUUUAGCUUCUUGUCCGUGGCUUCCGGAACCGGAGGGUGGGAGGAGCGUGUUCUGGUGGGGGAAGAGGGCGGUGAAGGUGGAAGGAGAGGGGGAGGGGGUGGUGCAGCUCCCAGAAGAGGAGAGGAGCAGGAAGGCAGCAUGGCUGGGAACAAAGGACCUGAAGAUGCCUAACAAAUAUCAGCAGGAAAGUUGGACUUAAGGAAUGGAGGAGAAACAUAAAUGGCCUGGGCCUUUGAAGUGUGACCUCAAUUCCCAGAGCUCAGAUGGCCACUUACAUAAGAGACCCUGCACCUCUGCUGUGAGCUGCUUGAUGGGCACGUUCACGUGUGGCAUCCGUAUGUCCAGCUGUAAAGCCAUUACCAGUUCCUACAGUUCCACUGGAGGCAUCUCUCAGGUACAUUCACCCGGUGGUGUGGAAGAAGUGGGGUCUUUGCAUUUAUUUAUUGAUUAUGCAGUGUUUACUAGCCGCCUUCUGUCAGAUGCUGAGAUCACCUCUAAGCUAACAGCAGUUACCAACGCCUGAAUGAUCACUAUAGACCAGUGGAACAAAUUAGAAAGCCCAGAGUGCUUAUGUGGAAACCUGAAUACAAGACAGAGCCAUUAUUAUAGAUAGAUGGACAAGGGAUGAAUAAUUUAAAAAAUGGUACUAAUUUGAUUAAAAAGGUAGAUUGAGUCUGGAUUGCAUUGGGUCAUAAAUUCAUCCUAUAGGCACUGGGAAUUUAAUGAAAGUUUUUAAAAUAAGUGGUUAUAAUUUUUUUUUAGAAAGUAUGUAGUGUAGACUGGAGAACAGAUCAAGUUUUGCUACCAGAAUGACUUGGGUUCAAAUCUUGGCUUUGGCACUUAGUAGCUAUAGACUCUUGGGCAGGGAAAUGACUCGAACUCUCUUUUUCUCAUCUCUAAAGGACUGUUGUACAGAUUGAAUGUUUGAAAAGCACCCAUUACAGUGUUUGUCAGUAAGUGGGCACCCGAUAUAUAGGAGCCUGAAAAAAAUAAUGCAUGUGUGGAGGAGGUUUUUGAGAGGAGAAAGAAUUUGACAUAAGUUUUCAUCCACACAGAAGGCUCUUGGAGUAAUAUAAAUGACAUGUUAAUGAUAAAUGACAAAUAUAGGAGAUGAAGGCCCCAGCCAGGCAGUUAUGGCAAUGCAGAGGACAAUAGUACGAAGUCUUUAUUCUGCACUAGGCCCUCUGCUGAGCACUGUACAUACAUUUCCUCAAUCAGUGAUCACAACAGACCUAUGAGAUACACAGUCAUUGCUCCUCCUUACAAUUUCAUAUCAAAUGUCAUACAUACACAAAAGGAAGGGAAAAUAUCAUAAUGAACCUCCAUGUAGCUCCAGCAGUUAACUGUUUUGUCAGUCCUGUUCUGUCAACACCCCCACCCCAGGUUGGUUUUGCUCUUGUGUUUUAAAGUACAAACAUUUUGUUUCACCCAUAGGUACUUCAGUGUAUUUUUAAAACUUUUUGAACAUUAAUAACCACAAUACCUCUAUUCCUCUGAAUAAUAAUAACUUAAUGUUAGUUAUUCUCACUCCAAUUUGCCCUUAUUACCCUGUCUUAUUAUAGUUACUUUGAAUCAGGGACCAAAAAUCAACUCAUUGCAUUUGGUUCACAUGUCUCUUAUACUCUUUUUUUUUUUGAGUAUUAAGUAUGUAAUUAAUAUAUGUAACAAACAAUCUGAAGGUAAGACUGUACACUUAUGGAAAUAAUGAUUUUGACCUACUUCAUAAGGUAGUUGUGAGGUAGUACAUAUAAAGUGUUCAAGAGUUUACAUUGUCCAUAGUAAACAUUCAAGAAGUGCCACCCAUUACUAUUAUUUUAAAUAAGUACAGUCAUUUAAUUUCAGGGACUUAAUUCACACUCAGAGCUUCAGACUUAACAUUAUACAGUGCUAUGUAUGAGGGCCUAACAAGCAGGCAGGGUAAAAAUAAUCUUAAACUUUUUAACAGGUUGUUUUAUAUUUUUUAGAUGUACCCUUUUUGGCUUUUAAUCUAAUUAUAAUGCUUUGAAAUUAUGCAUGUUUUCACAUAGUGUAACCUCAGUCUUGAGUAAUAGUUAUGUUGAAAUUACUAUAAAGCACUUUUGUAUCACAACAAAAUUACGUUGACCUCAUAGGACUGAAUUUCAGUCAUAGAGAAAAUGAAGGACUUAUAAUUGUAAAUUAUCUUCACUUUAAUCAGUAGCAUAAUGUACAUAUCAUUUUAUUAAAAAGCUUAUUCAUUGAAAAUCAUAAGGUAUUUUAUAGAUGCCUUUAAAUUUGGGUUUUAAAUAUAGGUUUUGUUUUUUUCUUAUUCUGGAAAUGUUCAUUAGUUUAUCUUAAUUUGAAUUACUGCUUAUUCUAACAUGUUGCCUGUAACAUUAUAUUUACAAGUUGAAUUAUGCUUUUCAUGGGGCAUGAAGAAAAAGUAAGCAGGCAGUUGAAUGAAAACAGGUCAGGUUGGGUUUCUAAAUGUUUGUCACUUGUGGUGAUUUAGACUUAAAUAUUUUUUUUCUUUCCUUAGGUAUUUUAUUGGGUAUUAAAGCAAGUAUUGAUGGUUAAUUUACACUGUUACUUGCUGAGUGUAUUGUUAGCAAUGCGGCUAGUGUACUUAAACUUCAAU